rnacentral:rRNA from 1 species
UAAGGAAUAUUGCUCAAUGGGAGAAAUCCUGAAGCAGCAACGCCGCGUGAAGGAUGAAGGGCUUUUGCUUGUAAACUUCUGUAGUGAGGGAAAAAAUCUCCAUUCUAUGGAGUAUGAUGGUACCUCAAAAGUAAGCCCCGGCUAACUACGUGCCAGCAGCCGCGGUAAUACGUAGGGGGCAAACGUUGUCCGGAUUUACUGGGUGUAAAGGGUGCUCAGGCGGUUUUGUAAGUCAGAAGUGAAAUCCUGG